rnacentral:rRNA from 1 species
AAAGCAGGAGCAAUCUUGUGAGUAAAGUGGCGUACGGGUGAGUAACACGUGGAUUAUCUACCUCUUUGUGGGGGAUAACCCUGGGAAACCGGGGCUAAUACCGCAUAAGUCCGAGAGGAGAAAGCAGCAAUGCGCAGAGAGAGGAGUCCGCGGCCGAUUAGUUAGUUGGCAGGGUAAAAGCCUACCAAGACAAAGAUCGGUAGCCGGCCUGAGAGGGCACACGGCCACACUGGCACUGAAACACGGGCCAGACUCCUACGGGAGGCAGCAGUGGGGAAUCUUGCACAAUGGGGGCAACCCUGAUGCAGCGACGCCGCGUGAGCGAUGAAGCCCUUCGGGGUGUAAAGCUCUUUCGGUAGGGAAGAUUAUGACGGUACCUGCAGAAGCAGCUGCGGCUAACUACGUGCCAGCAGCCGCGGUAAUACGUAGGCAGCGAGCGUUGUUCGGAGUUACUGGGCGUAAAGGGUGUGUAGGCGGUUUUCUAAGUCUGGUGUGAAAUCUCCCGGCUCAACUGGGAGGGUGCGCCGAAAACUGGAAGGCUAGAGUGCGGGAUGGGUAAGUGGAAUUCCUGGUGUAGCGGUGAAAUGCGUAGAUAUCAGGAGGAACGCCUGUGGUGUAGACGGCUUACUGGACCGCAACUGACGCUGAAACACGAAAGCGUGGGUAGCAAACAGGAUUAGAUACCCUGGUAGUCCACGCCCUAAACGAUGCAUAUUUGGUGUGGGCCAUUCAUUUGGUCUGUGCCGGAGCUAACGCGUUAAAUAUGCCGCCUGGGGAGUACGGUCGCAAGGCUGAAACUC